UUAAAAUCUAAUUUACUGCACUCUAGAAACUACUUUAAUUUCGAAAUAUCUUUAAAACUAAUGAUAACAGGUUUGACAAGUAUUAUUUUACUUAUAGCAUUAUUUCACGAACAUCCAGUAACGCACUUGUAUAUAUUUGAUGACAUCUCUGAGACCUUACUAAGACAAACAUAAAUCAGAGUUUAAAUUCCUGAAAAUGUUUACCGCGUCAAUUUUAUAUUGCUGAUGACUGUAUUCAACUUUUCAUUUUCUAUUUUAAGAUAUUUGUAUUUUCCCUCAAUGCUAAACAAGAUAAUUGGAAGCUUUACGAUUGGGACAAAGUCAAGACAGUUGUGAUGGCCGGUUAUUUUGACAUACAACUGGUUUGUUGGGCACAUAAGUUCGGCGCAAGGGCUGUCAUUAUCAAUCGGAGAAGUUGAGACAUCUGUGCUUCCUAACCAAACUGCUCGAUCACAGUGGGUACAAAAACAGUUAGAUUUUGUAGAUAAGAAUUACCUUGACGGAAUCAACUUUGACUACGAGCGUGCAAUAUUAUAUAAUCAGACUCAACUUCGCAAUGGAUACACAGAUCUUGUGAGGGAAACAAGACAAGCUUUUAGAGAAAAGUUCCCAUCUUCUAUGAUUAGUGUUGAUGUGGCGUGGUCUCCUGCUGGAAUAGAUUCACGUUACUACGACUUUGUGGGACUAUCAGAAGCUUCGGACUAUUUCUUUGUUAUGGCAAUACGACGAACAAAGCCAAAUACUAGGUGAAUGUAUUGCUUAUGCCAAUAGCGGAUUAUAUAUAGAACAAUGGAAGGUAUGAAUUUUUUGUGAAAAUCUUACGAUGACCUUAUAUUUAUAACUAAAAAAUGAAACAACUACUACUCAAAUGUUGAUGAUCAUUCACGCUAAACUGUUCACAUUUUCUCACAAAUGGUUAUUCCAGUUAUUGAUGAAAACCUUUGAAAAAUGAUCUCCCCAUAAAAUAAAUCUUUCGCACGUAAUGGAAAAGGUUAGGACAGUACACCUAAUCUAUAUGCAUAGAAAAUGUACUGUAGACAGUUUAUAAGAAUUGCCAAAUGGAUGAAAUUGAACGCUUAGUUAGUUGUUACUUGUCAGUGUUAUAGUAAACAUUCUGUUAUUAUUCUGAUGAGGUAUUAUACAUGUUUAUUAUAUUUCUGAUAACAGGCGUUAAUGAAUACUUAGAAAUUGGAAUACCGUCUGACAAGCUUAUUCUGGGAGUGCCUUGGUACGGCUACUAUUACCCAUGCUUGACAUUAACCAAGGAUGACAAAUGCUAUUUAAAGAAGGUUCCAUUUCGUGGUGUUAACUGCAGUGAUGCAGCGGGACGUCAGUUGAAUUACUACACUAUAAUACAGCUACAGUAACUAAAAAACUCUACAAGUGGACGUAUAUUUGAAAAAUCUACAAUGAAACCUUACUUUAAUUACAAGAAUAUUUCGUCAGGCAUUAUGCAUCAGAUACGUUAUGACGAUCCACAAAGUUUAGGAUAUAAAUAUACGUUUGCAAUAGAUGAAAACUUGCGAGGUGUAGGGAUGUGGAACACGAAGUGUGUGAAUUACACAAGCGGAA